rnacentral:rRNA from 1 species
GGGUUGUGAGGUUAAGCGACUAAGCGUACACGGUGGAUGCCCUGGCAGUCAGAGGCGAUGAAGGACGUGCUAAUCUGCGAUAAGCGUCGGUAAGGUGAUAUGAACCGUUAUAACCGGCGAUUUCCGAAUGGGGAAACCCAGUGUGUUUCGACACACUAUCAUUAACUGAAUCCAUAGGUUAAUGAGGCGAACCGGGGGAACUGAAACAUCUAAGUACCCCGAGGAAAAGAAAUCAACCGAGAUUCCCCCAGUAGCGGCGAGCGAACGGGGAGGAGCCCAGAGCCUGAAUCAGUGUGUGUGUUAGUGGAAGCGUCUGGAAAGGCGCGCGAUACAGGGUGACAGCCCCGUACACAAAAAUGCACAUACUGUGAGCUCGAUGAGUAGGGCGGGACACGUGGUAUCCUGUCUGAAUAUGGGGGGACCAUCCUCCAAGGCUAAAUACUCCUGACUGACCGAUAGUGAACCAGUACCGUGAGGGAAAGGCGAAAAGAACCCCGGCGAGGGGAGUGAAAAAGAACCUGAAACCGUGUACGUACAAGCAGUGGGAGCCUCUUAAUGGGGUGACUGCGUACCUUUUGUAUAAUGGGUCAGCGACUUAUAUUCUGUAGCAAGGUUAACCGAAUAGGGGAGCCGAAGGGAAACCGAGUCUUAACUGGGCGUUAAGUUGCAGGGUAUAGACCCGAAACCCGGUGAUCUAGCCAUGGGCAGGUUGAAGGUUGGGUAACACUAACUGGAGGACCGAACCGACUAAUGUUGAAAAAUUAGCGGAUGACUUGUGGCUGGGGGUGAAAGGCCAAUCAAACCGGGAGAUAGCUGGUUCUCCCCGAAAGCUAUUUAGGUAGCGCCUCGUGAAUUCAUCUCCGGGGGUAGAGCACUGUUUCGGCAAGGGGGUCAUCCCGACUUACCAACCCGAUGCAAACUGCGAAUACCGGAGAAUGUUAUCACGGGAGACACACGGCGGGUGCUAACGUCCGUCGUGAAGAGGGAAACAACCCAGACCGCCAGCUAAGGUCCCAAAGUCAUGGUUAAGUGGGAAACGAUGUGGGAAGGCCCAGACAGCCAGGAUGUUGGCUUAGAAGCAGCCAUCAUUUAAAGAAAGCGUAAUAGCUCACUGGUCGAGUCGGCCUGCGCGGAAGAUGUAACGGGGCUAAACCAUGCACCGAAGCUGCGGCAGCGACACUAUGUGUUGUUGGGUAGGGGAGCGUUCUGUAAGCCUGUGAAGGUGUACUGUGAGGUAUGCUGGAGGUAUCAGAAGUGCGAAUGCUGACAUAAGUAACGAUAAAGCGGGUGAAAAGCCCGCUCGCCGGAAGACCAAGGGUUCCUGUCCAACGUUAAUCGGGGCAGGGUGAGUCGACCCCUAAGGCGAGGCCGAAAGGCGUAGUCGAUGGGAAACAGGUUAAUAUUCCUGUACUUGGUGUUACUGCGAAGGGGGGACGGAGAAGGCUAUGUUGGCCGGGCGACGGUUGUCCCGGUUUAAGCGUGUAGGCUGGUUUUCCAGGCAAAUCCGGAAAAUCAAGGCUGAGGCGUGAUGACGAGGCACUACGGUGCUGAAGCAACAAAUGCCCUGCUUCCAGGAAAAGCCUCUAAGCAUCAGGUAACAUCAAAUCGUACCCCAAACCGACACAGGUGGUCAGGUAGAGAAUACCAAGGCGCUUGAGAGAACUCGGGUGAAGGAACUAGGCAAAAUGGUGCCGUAACUUCGGGAGAAGGCACGCUGAUAUGUAGGUGAAGUCCCUCGCGGAUGGAGCUGAAAUCAGUCGAAGAUACCAGCUGGCUGCAACUGUUUAUUAAAAACACAGCACUGUGCAAACACGAAAGUGGACGUAUACGGUGUGACGCCUGCCCGGUGCCGGAAGGUUAAUUGAUGGGGUUAGCGGUAACGCGAAGCUCUUGAUCGAAGCCCCGGUAAACGGCGGCCGUAACUAUAACGGUCCUAAGGUAGCGAAAUUCCUUGUCGGGUAAGUUCCGACCUGCACGAAUGGCGUAAUGAUGGCCAGGCUGUCUCCACCCGAGACUCAGUGAAAUUGAACUCGCUGUGAAGAUGCAGUGUACCCGCGGCAAGACGGAAAGACCCCGUGAACCUUUACUAUAGCUUGACACUGAACAUUGAGCCUUGAUGUGUAGGAUAGGUGGGAGGCUUUGAAGUGUGGACGCCAGUCUGCAUGGAGCCGGCCUUGAAAUACCACCCUUUAAUGUUUGAUGUUCUAACGUUGGCCCCUGAUCGGGGUUGCGGACAGUGUCUGGUGGGUAGUUUGACUGGGGCGGUCUCCUCCUAAAGAGUAACGGAGGAGCACGAAGGUUGGCUAAUCCUGGUCGGACAUCAGGAGGUUAGUGCAAUGGCAUAAGCCAGCUUGACUGCGAGCGUGACGGCGCGAGCAGGUGCGAAAGCAGGUCAUAGUGAUCCGGUGGUUCUGAAUGGAAGGGCCAUCGCUCAACGGAUAAAAGGUACUCCGGGGAUAACAGGCUGAUACCGCCCAAGAGUUCAUAUCGACGGCGGUGUUUGGCACCUCGAUGUCGGCUCAUCACAUCCUGGGGCUGAAGUAGGUCCCAAGGGUAUGGCUGUUCGCCAUUUAAAGUGGUACGCGAGCUGGGUUUAGAACGUCGUGAGACAGUUCGGUCCCUAUCUGCCGUGGGCGCUGGAGAACUGAGGGGGGCUGCUCCUAGUACGAGAGGACCGGAGUGGACGCAUCACUGGUGUUCGGGUUGUCAUGCCAAUGGCACUGCCCGGUAGCUAAAUGCGGAAGAGAUAAGUGCUGAAAGCAUCUAAGCACGAAACUUGCCCCGAGAUGAGUUCUCCCUGACUCCUUGAGAGUCCUGAAGGAACGUUGAAGACGACGACGUUGAUAGGCCGGGUGUGUAAGCGCAGCGAUGCGUUGAGCUAACCGGUACUAAUGAACCGUGAGGCUUAACCUUACAACGCCGAAGGUGUUU